AAUAACUCGACCGCUGAAUAUUAAAGUGCGUAUCGGACCGGUAUCCAUGGCAACCAACAGUGAUAAAAAUGCAGUGUGGCUAUCUGAAUGGGAACGUCACGACAUUAGCAUCUAAAACUGGAAACAAGAAUGAAGCAUAAGGGUAGCUCCAAUCACUCGUUAACCUAUCCGGUACGAGUUGGAUAUUUUCAGAUGCCAGCAGUUUUCUUGGUAAAAACAAGUUCUUCCUGCUUCUCUUUCUGGUCAGUUCGAUCACCCUGUCACUGCUGGUUGCGUUCUUUUUAACAAAAAAUCCAGUCAACAACCUCUCCUAGGCUUCGUUCGAAAUCUCCACAUAUUUAGAUGCGACUUGUGAUUGAUUAAAAGAUUGGAUUUUUAAAGAAAAAUCCAUUUGAAUUAGCCAUUGCUAUAGUCAACCUCCAUUACCUUGUUUUUUGCAUGUAACCCACGUACGAUUCUCCCAAAUCAACAAUCGCUUCAACGGUUCAUGUGGCCAAAUAAAAACAGUACAUCGAACGAAUGUUAUUUGUACUUGAUAAGCUUCUUGGUUUCAGUUUUACAUGGUGAUAUCUUAUUGAGCUUGUUUGCAAAUUCCAACUCUGAACUGAAAUGUUAUCGUUACGAGUUAAGGCACGUCCCGUUACACACACGUACGUUCCUAUAAUGAUUAUACGAGACCAAGGACUUGGAUAAUAUUACUUUGAAAAAAAAACAACCUCAAUUUAUAGAUGACAACGUUUUCACUAUGAUUUUAUGUUUCUUCGUCGUCAGUUUUUGCUAAAGACAAUUUUAUUGGGUGAAAAUACACACCUCGGGAGAAGAACCAGAAAUUAAUACGAAUAUACUUUUGUUUCCUGAAUUGCAGUUAAAUGGAUUAACAUGGUGCCUGAAAUGUCUUGUGUUUACACCACGGAGCUUUUAAACUGACUGCCAUUCGUUCCAGCAUCUUCAGACGUAUACCUUUCCUUCCGUUAUUAUGCAGUUAGGUUAUUAUCACCUUUCUACCAUCUUCCACCGAUAACUAUACUUUCCGUACUUGUUUCUGAAUUGGUAGAUAACCUGCUGUUCUUCUAGUUAAACGUGAUUUAAAUAUUUGUCGGAAUGCGAAAUUUCAAGUACCACGAAAAACCUGACAUUUAUAUUGUUUAUUUCAAAUUUGCAUGAAUAAUACGUAAGCUAUAAAGAACAACUCCAACAAAAGGAUCUGACUUGUUCUGUUUCGUGCCUACUGGCACAUAACAGUUAAUAUAAAUAGAACGAAUUUAACGAAUAGCAU